AGAAAAUGGCAUCAUUUCAAGUUGUCCUGAUUUUUAAACAUAAGCUGCUAAAAUCAUCACAAAAGGAGAAGUCCAGGAAGAAGGAGGAUGAUCUUUGGAAUACCCUGAAUUCUGGCUUUCAGUGUAGAAUCUUCAGCCUUUCAGUGAAGACUCUUCAACUUUUUAACACAGACUCACACUGACUGCAGUGAGCUCCAGGCCUUCAACUUCUGACUGGUCCUCUGACCUUUUCAGCGCUCAGGUGACCAUUUUGAAUUUUGCCACUCCUGAUUCUUCAGGUGGUCAAUAUUCUCUUCUGCAGCUGGGCUAGAAAAUCUCUAAAGCCCUUCCAAGCACACAAAUUCAAGGACUCUGUUGUGAUUUGAGGUCAACCCCAAGGAUGCCUAGGAAUAAAUAGAAGAAGCACAGCCUGCUCUCAGAGCUUAAACAUAUUAUUGAACAGUUAAGCGGUUUGGAGUAUAAGGAAGAAAUGUUGGGGAAAUAAUAUUUUAGCAAAGGAAGAUAGAAAUGGCUGCUAAUCAUCUCAGCAAAUGGCAGAC